rnacentral:tRNA from 2 species
GGGCCGUUAGCUCAGUUGGUAGAGCAGCUGACUCUUAAUCAGCGUGUCGGCGGUUCGAACCCGCCACGGCUCACCA